CAGUAGCCGCGGGAAUACGUAGGUGGCAAGCGUUGUCCGGAAUUAUUGGGCGUAAAGCGCGCGCAGGUGGUUUAAUAAGUCUGAUGUGAAAGCCCACGGCUCAACCGUGGAGGGCCAUUGGAAACUGUUAAACUUGAGUGCAGGAGAGAAAAGUGGAAUUCCUAGUGUAGCGGUGAAAUGCGUAGAGAUUAGGAGGAACACCAGUGGCGAAGGCGGCUUUUUGGCCUGUAACUGACACUGAGGCGCGAAAGCGUGGGGAGCAAACAGGAUUAGAUACCCCAGUAGUCCCUGUCUCUUAUAC
rnacentral:rRNA from 1 species